rnacentral:rRNA from 1 species
UUUGAUUCUGCUCAGGAUGAACGCUAGCUACAGGCUUUACACAUGCAAGUCGAGGGGCAGCGGGAUUGAAGCUUGCUUCAAUUGCCGGCGACCGGCGCACGGGUGAGUAACGCGUAUCCAACCUUCCGUACACUCAGGGAUAGCCUUUCGAAAGAAAGAUUAAUACCUGAUGGUAUCUUAAGCACACAUGUAAUUAAGAUUAAAGAUUUAUCGGUGUACGAUGGGGAUGCGUUCCAUUAGGUAGUAGGCGGGGUAACGGCCCACCUAGCCAACGAUGGAUAGGGGUUCUGAGAGGAAGGUCCCCCACAUUGGAACUGAGA